ensembl:lncRNA
AAAACAAAACUGGGUGUCCUAUGCCACAAAGAGAGAUGGUGGCAGCAUCUGAAGAGGAUGGGACACAUGAUAGCAGACCCACACAAGAUGAAUCUAAAGAUGAUUCAAAGGAUGAAGCAGAACAUUUGGGACAAAUGAUUCACAAAGUGGCCAUGGAAAAGAUGCAGCAGGCCUAUGUAAGCCAAGACAAAGCAAUGACUGUGAAUAAGAGUUCAGAAAAAAGGGUGAUUCACCAAACCAGAUGCUUGAAGAGGCUCACUUUUCAUCAGUCAACUCUCUUUGAAGACACGAUACCAAGAUCUGAUAACAACAAGAAAGACCAAAGUGGAAUGUCAUCUGCAGCAAUAAUAACCUCAGAACAACUGGAGGAGAAAGAGAUACAAGAAGAGUCUCUGGAGAAGAUGAAGAGUGAAGACAAAGAAGGGAAGAGAAAAGAAAAAGUACAGCAGGAGCCUCUGGAGAAGAUGAGCGGCAAAAGGCAAAGGAAGGAAGAAAAGAUACAGGCAGAGCCUCUGGAGAAGAUGAGCGGCAAAAGGCAAAGGAAGGAAGAAAAGAUACAGGCAGAGCCUCUGGAGAAGAUGAGCGGCAAAAGGCAAAGGAAGGAAGAAAAGAUACAGGCAGAGCCUCUGGAGAAGAUGAAGAGUGAAGCCAAAGUAGGAAAGAGAAAAGAAAAAGUAC